UGUACUUCCUAGUGUGCCGAAAUGUGAUAGAAAUAAUGAGUGGGCACAAUAUCAUAGGCUUCAAAAUAAUCUUCACAUGUGACCCAGAUCUAUACAGAAUUAUUACGGUGGCGAAGUUUCGGGAAGUUUGGAAUAGAUAGUUGUUCAAAAAAGAAAUAUGAAAGUAGAAGGAAAGACAGUAUUCAUCACAGGCGCUGCACAGGGUAUAGGCCGAGGAAUAACCGAGGCCUUGUUAGAAAGAGGGGCCAAGGUUUGUAUUGCUGAUUUAGAUGAUAAAAAGGGUGAAGAAACCGUAAACCAAUUCCAACAGAAGUUCGGAAAAGAAAAUGUAUUCUUUAUCAAUGUUGAUGUAACCAAUGAAAAGAAAUUUGAAGAUUGUUUUAAAGAAGCUGUGACACGACUGGGUAAUAUAGAUAUUAUGGUCAACAAUGCUGGUAUAAUGGAUGAAAGUAGAUGGGAAUUAAUGAUUCAACUUAAUAUUACAAGUAUGGUUAGAGGAACCAAUAUGGCGAUAGCUCACAUGAAUAAAGUAACUGGAGGGAAAGGAGGACUUAUAGUAAACACAGCAUCUGUAGCAGGUUUUGGUCCAGGAUUCUGGUUUCCUGUUUACGGAGGAACAAAACAUGCCGUUAUAGGAUUUACUAUCAGCUGGGCAGCUAACCCAAAUGUGGAAUCGAUGGGAAUCAGAUUUGCUUGUUUAUGUCCGUCUGCAGCAGAUACAGGAUUAUUAGAUUUAAAAGACCACCAAGGAAUCAUGGUCAGCCAUUUUACCAAAUUUGUUCAUGAAGUGUUUGGAGUUUCGUCAGUUAGUAAGAUCGUAGAAGGAUUUAUUACAUUGGUAGAAAAAGACGACAAUAAUGGCGCGCUUUUAGUUGUUGGUAAAAAUGAAGGAAUACAAUUUGUAACGCGGCAGUAUAAUCCUGGAACUCCUAAAGAAAAUCAAGAAAAGGCUGAUACUAAUAAAAUAUAAACACAUUUUGAACUGUUUAGAUUAAACUUCUAGUUGGUAACAUGUAUUUCUAAACAGAAAGUCUUUGCUUAACUUCUCAAUAACUUAUUUCCAUGGAAAUGUUUUCUGAUAUGUCACGGGUACAUACUAUGUGCAAGUAUUUGCCGGAACUAGUUUUGUUUAAGAAUCUUGGAACCGGGGUAUAAGAUUAUUUAUAGAACUCGUUUCCACUCGCGGACCCCUUGGGGCAUCUACAUUCACUCUGUUCAGUCAGAUUUAAAUAUUUUACAUUUCAUAUUGAAAUAAACCAUCUAUCCGUUC